rnacentral:rRNA from 1 species
GAUGAACGCUGGCGGCGUGCUUAACACAUGCAAGUCGAACGAAGCACUUUAUUACGAUUUCUUCGGAAUGACGAUUUAGUGACUUAGUGGCGGACGGGUGAGUAACGCGUGGGUAACCUGCCUUAUACAGGGGGAUAACGUUUGGAAACGAACGCUAAUACCGCAUAAGCGCACAGAGUCGCAUGACUCAGUGUGAAAAACUCCGGUGGUAUAAGAUGGACCCGCGUCUGAUUAGCUAGUUGGUGAGGUAGAGGCCCACCAAGGCGACGAUCAGUAGCCGGCCUGAGAGGGUGAACGGCCACAUUGGGACUGAGACACGGCCCAAACUCC